AAAAAAAUAGGACGAAGAUUCUAUUUUGUUGGUUCCUAAGGCCAUCGUAAUGAUUAAGGGGCGGUCGGGGCAUUAGUAUUUAGUUGUAAGAGGUGAAAUUCUUAGGUUUUCUGAAGACUAACUACUGCGAAACAUUUGUUAAGGACGUUUUCAUU
rnacentral:ncRNA from 1 species